UUUGGAGGGAAAAUUUCUAGUUCCCUCUUUUUUUUUGUCAACAUCUUUAUCUCUUUAUAAGAUGUAUUUCUCAUUUUUUACUCCACAUUCUCAUUUUUUAGUUCUCUAUAGCGUAGGUAUUUUCAUUCAAGAACGAUCCAAUCUAAUGAUUCUUUUUAUGUGUUCUUUUUUUUUUGUGGGUUUCUUAAUCUAAUAUAUUUGCAAUUCUUGAUUUCAUGUUGAUUCAUUCCAAAGUUCUAUUGGUCAUUUGUCAAAGAUUGCUGAUAUACUUAUUCACGACGGAGAUAAUGGCUUCUCGAACAAGAAUUGGCAAGAAAAAUAGAGUUUUUACUACAUCUUAUGAGCCACCUUCAGAUGUUUUCUCAUCAAAGGCAUCAUGCAAGGGUCUAUUAACCCAUACUACUCUUCAAGCUAAUAUCUCUUCCUCAUUGUCAAAGACUAGUAAUGUUCAAGUUCCUACUCCAUUACCUCAAUCUCUACGGGUUCCCACCCCAUUAUCUCAGCCCCAGCUUCAACUUAAUUCAUCACAAGCAACCACAUUGACACAUGAGACGAUCCUCAAUUCCAACGAUUCUCAUUCUCUGAAGAGGAAGGGACGUGGUCCUACAAGAGGUAAGGGCACUGAUGACAAUGUUAGUGCAGCUGGAAAAAUAUAGUUGGAGAUUUCUAAAAAACUGGGAAGAGCUAUUGGAAAUCAGCAAGCAUGUUUGGCUAGUGAAUGUGGCUACGUUGUUCGAUCCUUUGCUCCAAUUUGUUGCAAAAGGUGGAUCGACAUACCCUAUGAAGAGAAAAAUAAAUUGUAUGAUCGAGUUUUGGCAAAAUUCAAGCUUGAUUUGACAGUUGAGCACGUCCAUAAAUGUGUGAACGAUACUUUAGCGAGAAGAUAUCGUGAUUAUAGAUGUAGACUUAAAGAGAAAUAUUUUAAUGGAAAAACAUUAGAUGAUGUAAUGAAGAACUGCCCAACUGACAUAAAGCAAGUUGAUUGGGACUGGUUGUGUCAAUAUUGGUCUACCCCUAAAUUUCAGGCAUUAUCUACACGUAAUUUAGCAAGCCACAACUGCAUUAAAUAUAAUCAUUGUAGUGAAUCAAAAUCAUUUGUUGCACGUCUUCAAGAAAAGAGAUCAAUUACUAAAGACAAUGCACAAGGAGAAAUAUAACUUUAUUAUGAGACUCAUUACAGUCAGAAGAAAGGGUGGGUAAACGAUGAAGCACAAAUAAAAUAUGAGAAGAUGCUUCAAAUUAAAGAGCAACCAAUUUCAGAGGGAUCUGAGGCCCCCACUGAACUUGAGAUUAUGCAAGAAGUUUUAGGAAAAUCCAGAGGUUACAUUAGAGGACUUGGACAUGGUCCAAAACCUGCCUCAAGCCACUCUACUCAUUUGACAUCGGUUGAUACUGAAUCAAUAGGCCUUCGAGAGCAAAUACAAAAGCAGGAGCAAGAAUUAUUGGAUAUGCGUGCCAAGAUUUCUCAUUUUGAGGCGCUAAUGCAUCAGUUCGUAUCGAAUUAAGUCGGCAUGUCUCCACAACAAGCUGAACCAACAACAAUGUUUAGCAUGCCACCGCCUACUGAUAAUAUAUGAAUUAUGAUUUAUUUAUUUAUUUGCUUUAAUUGUUGAGACAUUUAUUUUCUUUUAUGGAUUGGUUC